rnacentral:rRNA from 1 species
CCUACGGGCCGCAGCAGUGGGGAAUAUUGGACAAUGGGCGAAAGCCUGACGGAGCAAUGCCGCGUGGAGAUAGAAGGCCCACGGGUCGUGAACUUCUUUUCCCGGAGAAGAAGCAAUGACGGUAUCUGGGGAAUAAGCAUCGGCUAACUCUGUGCCAGCAGCCGCGGUAAUACAGAGGAUGCAAGCGUUAUCCGGAAUGAUUGGGCGUAAAGCGUCUGUAGGUGGCUUUUUAAGUCCACCGUCAAGUCCCAGGGCUCAACCCUGGACAGGCGGUGGAAACUACCAAGCUGGUGUACGGUAGGGGCAGAGGGAAUUUCCGGUGGAGCGGUGAAAUGCGUAGAGAUCGGAAAGAACACAACGGCGAAAGCACUCUGCUGGGCCGACACUGACACUGAGAGACGAAAGCUAGGGGAGCGAAUGGGAUUAGAUACCCCAGUAGUC